rnacentral:rRNA from 1 species
AUUGAACGCUGGCGGCAGGCCUAACACAUGCAAGUCGAGCGGAUGAAGGGAGCUUGCUCCUGGAUUCAGCGGCGGACGGGCGAGUAAUGCCUAGGAAUCUGCCUGGUAGAGGGGGAUAACGUCCGGAAACGGGCGCUAAUACCGCAUACGUCCUGAGGGAGAAAGUGGGGGAUCUUCGGACCUCACGCUAUCAGAUGAGCCUAGGUCGGAUUAGCUAGUUGGUGGGGUAAAGGCCUACCAAGGCGACGAUCCGUAACUGGUCUGAGAGGAUGAUCAGUCACACUGGAACUGAGACACGGUCCAGACUCCUACGGGAGGCAGCAGUGGGGAAUAUUGGACAAUGGGCGAAAGCCUGAUCCAGCCAUGCCGCGUGUGUGAAGAAGGUCUUCGGAUUGUAAAGCACUUUAAGUUGGGAGGAAGGGCAGUAAGUUAAUACCUUGCUGUUUUGACGUUACCAACAGAAUAAGCACCGGCUAACUUCGCG